AACGAACGCUGGCGGCAGGCCUAACACAUGCAAGUCGAGCGCCCCGCAAGGGGAGCGGCGGACGGGUGAGUAACGCGUGGGAACGUACCCUUUGCUACGGAAUAGCCUCGGGAAACUGGGAGUAAUACCGUAUGUGUCCUUCGGGAGAAAGAUUUAUCGGCAAGGGAUCGGCCCGCGUUGGAUUAGGUAGUUGGUGGGGUAAUGGCCUACCAAGCCGACGAUCCAUAGCUGGUUUGAGAGGAUAAUCAGCCACACUGGGACUGAGACACGGCCCAGACUCCUACGGGAGGCAGCAGUGGGGAAUCUUAGACAAUGGGCGCAAGCCUGAUCUAGCCAUGCCGCGUGAGCGAUGAAGGCCUUAGGGUUGUAAAGCUCUUUCAGGGGGGAAGAUAAUGACUGUACCCCAAGAAGAAGCCCCGGCUAACUCCGUG
rnacentral:rRNA from 1 species